rnacentral:lncRNA from 1 species
GGUGAAGCACCCGAAGGGCAAUAACAUCUCCAAAACAGGGACCCACUAAGUUGAGUAAAGGAAACAGGGUCAAGGAGAACAAACCCAGAUUCUACAAAAACAGCGUGAAGCGCAACCACCAAAAGCUUAUGGUCACGGCCUGCGUCAUCGCUCAGCCCAUCCGUGAACACUUUCCUCAAAAAUCCAGGUACAGAAAACGACUUCGUCAUAUUCACAUCAGCCGUCAUCGCUCAGCUCAUCCAUGAACACUUUCCUCAAAAAUCCAGGCACAGAAAACGACUUCGUCAUAUUCACAUCAACUGUCAUGUCGCUGUAAUCGACCACCAUAAACUCCUCCGUUUCCUCUCCCUCAAGUAUCGAAUUUACGGUUUUCGUCUCAGAUUCCUGGAUAAUUUGGGUAUCCAGUUUUUUGACUGUUUCA